GCCUACUUGCACCUGGACAAAAAGACCCCGUGGAGCUUUACUGUAGCUUGGCAUUGGGAAGACGUUUGAAACUGUCGAGUAUAGGAGGGACCCCGCCGCAAGGCGGGGAACAGUGGAAUACCUCUCUUUUUAAUCGUUAACCCUAAUCUCUUGGCCGCUCAAACAACCGGCAGGGAGACAGUGUCUGGUGGGCAGUUUCGCUGGGGAGGUGGCCUCCAAAAGUGUAACGGAGGCGUACAAAGGUCGGCUUAUCCCGGAUGGAAAUCGGGAUGUAAGUGCAAACGCAAAAGCCGGCUUGACUGAGAGACUUACAAGUCGAACAGGCGCGAAAGCGGGUGUUAGUGAUCCUCGGAUCCGCCGUGGUUGCGGACCGAGCUUAACGGAUAAAAGCUACCCCGGGGAUAACAGGCUGAUCGGGCCCGAGAGUCCAUAUCGACGGCCCGGUUUGGCACCUUAUGCAAUAAGCAUCGGGGUGCCUGUGCAGUAAUGUACAAGUCUGGUCCCGAAUUGCACCUAACCCAUGCAAUUCGCGGAAAAAAUUUACUAGUCCAAAUCGGUGAACUCCUUCUCCGCCAAAUGGCGGAUCAGGACAACACCGAGGGAAUCCUUCGUUCUGAUGAACUCAGGACGGGGACCCGUAUCGACUGAUUCCCGAUACAAUUGUAUCGAGGAUGAGAUAGAAGUUCUUAAUAAAAAUUUUCCUUCUAUCAUACGGCUAGCCCCUCCGAAUCGGAGGGUGAAGGUAUAGUCAACAUCUUCCGGUAACGGAAGAACAAACGACAAGCGAUGUCGGCUCAUCCUAUCCUGGAGGUGGAGAAGCUUCCAAGGGUCCGGCUGUUCGCCGGUUAAAAGGGUACGCGAGCUGGGUUCAGAACGUCGUAAGACAGUAGACCAAUAAUGGUACGACAUCAUUAUUAAUUAGAGCUGUCUUUCCUUCAACGUUUUGGACAAUAAGAGGAAAUGAAGGAGAUCGCCCGUCCAGGGCGAAAUAAAUCUGGCUAAAUGCUGGAAAAUCCGAAGAAUCGUGUGAUACUUGAGAAGUAAUUAAAAUAGAGAUAACAUAUCUCUAUGAUCUCAAGUGAUAACUCAUCACGUGCGGACAAUCAGCAGGUAACCGAAGAAAAAAUAUCUAAUGAAUAUCUUUGUGGCUUUGUAGAUGGUGAGGGAUGUUUCUAUGUAGGAUUUGGAAAACGUACAGAUCUUCCAUUAAAAUGGCAGAUUAUUACAGAAUUCCAUUUAAGUCAAAAUCCGGGAGGGAAGAAUGUUCUCGAAACAUUUAUAAAAAGAUUAGGUUGCGGAUAUUUAAAACCUAACCACCCUGGAAGUCUAAAAGACAAGACGUGGGUUUUAAUUGUAAAAGAUAGAAAGGAUAUAAAAAAUAAAUUAAUUCCUUUCUUUUUGGAACAUCCAUUACAGACUAUAAAGAGAUUAGAAUUUUUAAUAUUUAAACAGGUAAUUGAGGUAAUAGAAAAUAAGCAACAUUUGAAUGAAAACGGAUUCAGAAGAAUAGUUGAACUCGUUUUCAGUUUGCCUAGAUCUACAAAUAAAAGAUAUUCUAAAGAUAAACUUCUUCGGCACCUCAGAGACUAUAUGCCAGACCCCACCAUGGCGGGGAAGAUAUAGUCCGAACUGUAUGGCGACAUGCAGAGUAUGGCAGAAAUGUCCAUACUCCUGAUGUAAUCAGGAUAACAAAUUGUCGGUCUCUAUCCGGUGCAAGCGUUAGAUACUUGAGGGGAGCUCUUGCUAGUACGAGAGGACUGCGAGGGAGGAAUCCCUGGUGUGCCAGUUGUGGGACUGAGUCCUGCAGCAAGCUGGAUAGCUACAUUCCUACGGGAUAAGCGCUGAAAGCAUCUGAAGCGCCAAGCCCACCCCAAGAUAAGGUAUCUUUAUGAGACCCCUUGUAGACUACAAGGUUGAUAGGCGGAAAGUGUACGCACCGCAAGGUGUUUAGCUCAUCCGUACUAAUUGGUCCAGAGU
rnacentral:rRNA from 1 species